UAACACAUGCAAGUCGAGGGGUAUAUGUCUUCGGAUAUAGAGACCGGCGCACGGGUGCGUAACGCGUAUGCAAUCUACCUUUUACAGAGGGAUAGCCCAGAGAAAUUUGGAUUAAUACCUCAUAGUAUAGCUCUACCGCAUGGUAGUACUAUUAAAGUCACAACGGUAAAAGAUGAGCAUGCGUCCCAUUAGCUAGUUGGUAAGGUAACGGCUUACCAAGGCAACGAUGGGUAGGGGUCCUGAGAGGGAGAUCCCCCACACUGGUACUGAGACACGGACCAGACUCCUACGGGAGGCAGCAGUGAGGAAUAUUGGACAAUGGGCGCAAGCCUGAUCCAGCCAUGCCGCGUGCAGGAUGACGGUCCUAUGGAUUGUAAACUGCUUUUGUACGAGAAGAAACACUGCUUCGUGAAGCAGCUUGACGGUAUCGUAAGAAUAAGGAUCGGCUAACUCCGUGCCAGCAGCCGCGGUAAUACGGAGGAUCCAAGCGUUAUCCGGAAUCAUUGGGUUUAAAGGGUCCGUAGGCGGUUUAGUAAGUCAGUGGUGAAAGCCCAUCGCUCAACGGUGGAACGGCCAUUGAUACUGCUGAACUUGAAUUAUUAGGAAGUAACUAGAAUAUGUAGUGUAGCGGUGAAAUGCUUAGAGAUUACAUGGAUACCAAUUGCGAAGGCAGGUUACUACUAA
rnacentral:rRNA from 1 species